CUACGGGAUGCACCAGUGAGGAAUAUUGCACAAUGGGGGGAACCCUGAUGCAGCAACGCCGCGUGGAGGAUGACGCAUUUCGGUGUGUAAACUCCUUUUAUAUGUCAAGAAAAUGACGGUAGCAUAUGAAUAAGCACCGGCUAACUCCGUGCCAGCAGCCGCGGUAAUACGGAGGGUACAAGCGUUACUCGGAAUCACUGGGCGUAAUGGACGCGUAGGCGGGUUGGAAAGUCAGGUGUGAAAUCCUACAGCUUAACUGUAGAACUGCACUUGAAACUUCUAAUCUAGAGUAUGGGAGGGGGAGAUGGAAUUAGUGGUGUAGGGGUAAAAUCCGUAGAUAUCACUAGGAAUACCUAAAGCGAAGGCGAUCUCCUGGAACAUUACUGACGCUAAGGCGUGAAAGCGUGGGGAGCAAACAGGAUUAGAUACCCCUGUAGUC
rnacentral:rRNA from 1 species